rnacentral:rRNA from 1 species
GAUGAACGCUGGCGGCGUGCUUAACACAUGCAAGUCGAACGAAGCAUUUAGAACAGAUUACUUCGGUUUGAAGUUCUUUAUGACUGAGUGGCGGACGGGUGAGUAACGCGUGGGUAACCUGCCUUGUACUGGGGGAUAGCAGCUGGAAACGGCUGGUAAUACCGCAUAAGCGCACAAUGUUGCAUGACAUGGUGUGAAAAACUCCGGUGGUAUAAGAUGGACCCGCGUCUGAUUAGCUAGUUGGUGAGAUAACAGCCCACCAAGGCGACGAUCAGUAGCCGACCUGAGAGGGUGACCGGCCACAUUGGGACUGAGACACGGCCCAGACUCCUACGGGAGGCAACAGUGGGGAAUAUUGCACAAUGGAGGAAACUCUGAUGCAGCGACGCCGCGUGAGUGAAGAAGUAAUUCGUUAUGUAAAGCUCUAUCAGCAGGGAAGAUAGUGACGGUACCUGACUAAGAAGCUCCGGCUAAAUACGUG